UACAGGGGGGGCAAGCGUUGUUCGGAAUUACUGGGCGUAAAGGGCUCGUAGGCGGCCAACUAAGUCCGACGUGAAAUCCCCAAGCUUAACUUGGGAACUGCGUCGGAUACUGGAUGGCUUGAAUUCGGGAGAGGGAUGCAGAAUUCCAGGUGUAGCGGUGAAAUGCGUAGAUAUCUGGAGGAACACCGGUGGCGAAGGCGGCAUCCUGGACCAAUAUUGACGCUGAGGAGCGAAAGCUAGGGGAGCAAACGGG
rnacentral:rRNA from 1 species